GACGAACGCUGGCGGCGUGCUUAACACAUGCAAGUCGAACGGAAAGGCCCUGCUUUUGUGGGGUGCUGGAGUGGCGAACGGGUGAGUAACAUGUGAGUAACCUGCCCUUGACUUUGGGAUAACUUCAGGAAACUGGGGCUAAUACCGGACAGGAGCUUCUGCUGCAUGGUGGGGGUUGGAAAGUGUCGGCUGUUGGGGAUGGAUGCGCGGGUUAUCAGCUUGUUGGUGGGGUAGUGGCUUACCAAGGCUUUGACGGGUAGCCGGCCUGAGAGGGUGACCGGCCACAUGAGGACUGAGAUACGGCCCAGGCUCGUACGGGAGGCAGCAGUGGGGAAUAUUGCACAAUGGGCGGGAGCCUGAUGCGACGGCGCCGGGUGCGGGAUGACGGCCUUCGGGUUGUGAACCGCUUUCGCCUGUGACGAAGCGUGAGUGACGGUAAUUGGUAAAGAAGCACCGGCUAACUACGUG
rnacentral:rRNA from 1 species